UGAUCAGAAAAGGGAAGGGGGAAGGGGAGGAGUUGUUGAAGCGGAGAGGGGGCCGAUCCUCUCGCAGUAGUGAGACACACAAUCAAAUGGAGCACAACCCGCAUUUCCUUCUUGCUUCUUGGCAUGAUGCAUUCGGCUCCGUUCCUAUGCGCGAUGGCGCUUUCCUUUCUUCCAAUCGUGCCCUCCUUGUGAAGGUGCUCUUUCACCUCCUCCCACUGCCCUUGCACUGUGACUUCUUGCAUCUCCCUCGCCUUUCUCGCUAUGCCGUUGCUGGUCCUCGCCUCGGUAGUGUGGUAAUGAGCAGAGGUCUGCGGAGUUUCUGCUGGUGUGGAGACCUUUAAUUAUCGUCCAGCUUUGUGCCAUUUGGAUCCGUUGUUUGGAACUUUCGGGCCAGAGGACGCCACGGGCAUCGAGGGUGAGGGUGGAGGAGGAGGGGGUGGGAGUGCCGUGGCGAUGGGGCGUUGCAGGGUUUUUGUAAAGCACGGUAAGGGGUAGAGCGCGAUCAGAGGUUUGUCAUGUGCUCAGCAUGCUCCGGUGCAUUGUGCGUCGGAUUAAAUUUCAUCGAAGAAGAAGAAGGAGAAGAGAAUUCUGCUUUACUCGCCGGCAGGCAAUUGGGAGAAUUUUAAGGAAGAGAGGUCUAGGAAGAGUUGAUUGGAUCUGAAUUGCCCAUGAAGUCGGCGUAAGACCAGCCAGAAUUGAAAACUGACGUGCUCACAGUGUUGUGGGGGAGAGGAAGUUGGCGAAGAGGAGACGGAGGAAGCCGCAAGAUUGAAAGGAUUAGAAAUUGCGGUCAAGAGGAGUGGGCUGGUAGGGGGGAGAAGUGAGGGUAUAUCGAUGGCAUGCUCAUGUGUCGGCAGAUUGUUCUGCAAUCCAUGUAAUGUACAGCCAUCUUUUCGCACUGUUUCCAACAUGGUGUCAUCUGGCUUUACAUCCCAACUGCGUUUGAUCUCUCCAAUGAAGCUUCCCUCAGCAUCGUCGUCAGCAUUGUUUUCUCUUGCUCUGCUGAAGUCAUCGUUUCUUCCUCUUAUCACUGCCAAUUUUUCUGCUCAAGGGGUUGGGAUAAGUGUCUCGUCGUUCAAGGUCCAUCAAAUUACUGUCCAAGUGAAACCCGGUAGGAAUGAUUUGGUGGUAUGCUUCGGGGAGCUCCUUAUUGACUUUGUGCCUACGGUUGGAGGUGUCCCACUUGCUGAUGCCCCAGCGUUUAAGAAAGCACCAGGAGGUGCACCUGCGAAUGUAGCUUGUGGGAUUGCAAAGCUCGGCGGUAAUUCUGCUUUCGUUGGCAAGGUUGGGGAUGACGAGUUUGGUUACAUGCUCUGUGAUGUGCUAAAAGACAACAAAGUUGAGACCAAAGGUAUUAGGUUUGAUUCUCAAGCAAGGACAGCGCUAGCAUUUGUGACCUUGAGGGAGGAUGGGGAGCGGGAGUUCAUGUUCUACCGCAAUCCCAGUGCUGACAUGCUCUUUGAAGUUCAUGAGCUGGACACUGAUUUAUUGAAGCAGGCGUCAAUUUUGCACUAUGGCUCCAUCAGCUUAAUUACGGAGCCUUCUCGCUCGACACAUCUGGAAGCAAUGCGCAUCGCUAAAGAAGCAGGUGCAUUACUAUCGUACGACCCUAAUCUUCGGCUGGCCUUGUGGCCAUCGGCUGCGGCCGCUAAAGAGGGCAUUAAGUCUAUUUGGGAAAGAGCCGAUAUCAUCAAGGUUAGUGAUGAGGAGGUUGUUUUUCUCACCGAUGGCGAUCCCAAGGAUGACCAAAACAAUAUGAAAAUGUUCCAUCCUCGCUGCAAGCUGAUGCUGGUGACUGAGGGUGGGGAGGGAUGUCGUUACUACACCCCAAAGUUCAGAGGCCAUGUUAAUGGUGUUAAGGUUCAAGUUGUUGAUACCACUGGAGCUGGUGAUGCAUUUUGUGCCGGCCUCUUGAGCCAGCUUGCAGUAGUCCCAUCCAUAAUAGACGAUGAGCCCAAGCUUCGUAAUGCUCUCACAUUUGCGAAUGCAUGCGGAGCCAUCACAACGACGGAAAGAGGAGCCAUUCCAGCGCUCCCAGACAAGGACACUGUCUUAAGGCUUAUACGCAUUUCUAGAAGUCCUGCAUGUGAUUAUAUCUGCAUAAUGGAACCACAUUUAGGCAGUCCAGGUAAAUAUUUAUUUCUAAGAGCAAUUGCAUCAUUUAAUCAUGGUGACGAGGGGAAACUGGAACCAAAUAUAUCUCAGAUUUCGCGGUGGGGAUGCGGAACACCGACCCGGUCUUCUAUGUCAAGCCCGGAUGCUUCGUGGCACGGUUACCAAAAAUGGAGAUACAGGAACUCAACUACAACCCUGUAAACAACGCAAGUGCCAGUUUCUACAACAACGAUGUAGGAGUGAAGAAUCUUGAUUGGGAUGAUGCCUCCUCAAGAAAUGGAAGAUAUUACCAAGCCUGUACUGCAGCGUACUCAUGCAAGUGGAAGCAGGAUGAAUUGCAAGCCUUUGAGGAAGAAGACAUCAUGUUGCAUAAGCAGCCCACACGUGCAUACGGCAUGGCACUUAUUAGGAAUACUCCCUAGAAAAUUGGAAAUUCUGAAAAAUAAUGUGCAGUCUGUACUAAUGAAAUUGUUUGGUCCUAAUUUGUUCAGCAGGUGCAAUUGAGUGAUUGUUGUGUAGAAGGAUUAGCCUGCAUGAUGUGGCUUGCUGUUUUACUUCUGCUGUGAUUCACACAUAAGGCUUACCUCUAAAUUAAUGUUUUGUUUUUUGCAGACCCUAAGAAUUUUGAGUUCUUGUCAUUGUUAACUUUGGAUGUUCACAACAAAGUGUAUUACAGCAGAUGUAUUUAUACUGAUAAACUUUGCAAAUAUGGUAUUAAGGUUUGUCUUGUGGCUAUAGCCACCUGUGCUCAGACUAGUUCACCUACAAAAGAGUCACGGUAAGCAAUGGUAACCUUUACUUAGUGCUGUUCAUCUGCCUGUGCACAGAGAUUUUAUUUAGGUUUUCCACUCUCCAAGUAUCUUAGUAUCUCAGUUGCAUAGUUCUCAUUCAUUAACAUGAUGCAACAAGGGAUUAACCAUGUGAGAUCUCUUGGUUCCAGCUUCA